CUGAGGCAGCACAGCUGAGGCUUCCGACUGCAGGGGCAGGCGGGUCGCACUGCAGCCCGGCCGGGGCAGCCACGGAGGCAGCUGGGAGGCAGUGUCCUGACUCGCAGGAAGGCUUGUAGCAGCUCUCUGCAGAAGGCCGGCCAAGCCUGACCGUUUCCAUGUACUCGUUCAAUUAGUGUAACAGCGUGCAUACCUCAUUCCUGUAAGUUGUGAGCAAUUGAGCUAUCACUGCGUGGGAACAGAUCGGGACGUGUUCUGAACGCCCUUUAUGUCUCCCCAAGACUCCGAGCAGGGGUGUGCUGGUGACCCAGGGAACUUCCCAUUUGUGGAGCCCACUGUUCAGACUCAACUCUAGUCCACAUGACC